UACGAAGGAUGCAAGCGUUAUCCGGAUUUAUUGGGUUUAAAGGGUGCGUAGGCGGGCUCGCAGGUCAGGGGUGAAAGCCCACGGCUCAACCGUGGAAGUGCCUUUGAUACCGUGAGUCUCGAGGGAGGUAGGGGCGUGCGGAACUUCCGGUGGAGCGGUGAAAUGCGUAGAUAUCGGAAGGAACAUCGGUGGCGAAAGCGGCGCGCUGGACCUCUUCUGACGCUGAGGCGCGAAAGCCAGGGGAGCAAACGGG
rnacentral:rRNA from 1 species